AUCCACAUAAAGUUAGUGCUGUAAAGAAAUGCCCCGGUGUUUAAUAAAUCGUGUUUAAUUCUAUUUACCCAAGACAGCUUUAAUUGAUGAAUUGGAUUAGCCCUGGACAAAGAUAAAAGUGAUUUAUCAAUGAGGCAGUUCUAUAUAGCGCUAAUUUAUAUCAUGGGUUGUAUAAUACACUUGAUUCAUAAUAUUAAUUACUAUUUACAGGCCCAAGUGCCAUACUGUUCACAUGAUCAAAAAAUAUUUCAAUAAGA